UGGGGAAUAUUGCACAAUGGGCGAAAGCCUGAUGCAGCGACGCCGCGUGCGGGAUGAAGGCCUUCGGGUUGUAAACCGCUUUUAAUUGGGAGCAAGCGAGAGUGAGUGUACCUUUUGAAUAAGCACCGGCUAACUACGUGCCAGCAGCCGCGGUAAUACGUAGGGUGCAAGCGUUAUCCGGAAUUAUUGGGCGUAAAGAGCUCGUAGGCGGUUUGUCACGCCUGGUGUGAAAGUCCAUCGCUUAACGGUGGAUCUGCGCCGGGUACGGGCAGGCUAGAGUGCAGUAGGGGAGAUUGGAAUUCCCGGUGUAACGGUGGAAUGUGUAGAUNUCGGGAAGAACACCAAUGGCGAAGGCAGAUCUCUGGGCUGUUACUGACGCUGAGGAGCGAAAGCAUGGGGAGCGAACAGGAUUAGAUACCCUGGUAGUCCAUGCCGUAAACGGUGGAUGCUGGAUGUGGGACCCUUCCACGGGUUCCGUGUCGGAGCUAACGCGUUAAGCAUCCCGCCUGGG
rnacentral:rRNA from 1 species